UCCUCAUGGAAAGAAACGCCCCAGACUUUGGGAUGGGCAGCUUCUGUGGGAUCCUUCUGACGGAAUGCUGAAUCUCUGGCGUUGGCCCCUGCGGUCAUUGACCUCUGACAAUAUCCUUGGGAGCACGUUGGCCCUUGGAGGCGACCCCUGGCUGGGGGACACCAAGGAGUCAGGGGACUGUGCUAAGAACACAU
rnacentral:lncRNA from 1 species